CCUACGGGAGGCUGCAGUGGGGAAUCUUGGACAAUGGGCGAAAGCCUGAUCCAGCCAUGCCGCGUGUGUGAAGAAGGCCUUCGGGUUGUAAAGCACUUUCAGUGGGGAAGAAAGCCUUGGGGCUAAUACCCUCGAGGAAGGACAUCACCCACAGAAGAAGCACCGGCUAACUCCGUGCCAGCAGCCGCGGUAAUACGGAGGGUGCGAGCGUUAAUCGGAAUUACUGGGCGUAAAGAGCGCGUAGGCGGUCUGAUAAGCCGGUUGUGAAAGCCCCGGGCUCAACCUGGGAACGGCAUCCGGAACUGUCAGGCUAGAGUGCAGGAGAGGAAAGUAGAAUUCCCGGUGUAGCGGUGAAAUGCGUAGAGAUCAGGAGGAAUACCAGUGGCGAAGGCGGCCUGCUGGACUGACACUGACGCUGAGGUGCGAAAGCGUGGGUAGCAAACAGGAUUAGAUACCCCGGUAGUC
rnacentral:rRNA from 1 species